CCAUUGCAUAGUGUAUAUUUGCGGUUUCUCAAUCAAGUUGAAAGAACCACUUUAGAGGUGACAACUGAACAAGUAGACAAAUUACGAGUCAGGCCUUAGCAUCCUGGGCCCUGUUUGGGCAUUAAAUACAUCAAGAACUUACAUAUUUAGUGCCUUCUCAUGGAAUAGCCACAUUAACUUAUUUACAAAAUGGUACAGAAGAGGGACCAGCUGUUUGGGUGUAUUUGUGUCCAGUGGUUCCUGGGCGUAUUUCUUUAAGUGCUCUGCCUAUCUUGAUUCUCAUCAGGAACACUGUGAUUUUCUAAGUUUUAAAUGGGUAGAAGAGGCCUGCAGUUAAGGUCUCCCUUUUAAGCGUGAGCACUCAAUUAACUCAUCUUGCAUCUUUGGGAAACUCAGUUACAGCUAAUAAGUGUAUCGGGCUACUGCUUUAGGGUUACAUAUUUCCUGUCUAGAUUUUUUUUUUGACAUUUUCAGAUAAAAGGUUGCUUGGAAGAAGAGAUUUAUUGGUUUGUGUUGGCCGUCCCUUCCUUAUCGCCUUGCUGCCCUGAAUUGGAGCUAACUGCUGGCCAGCCACCCACAGUAGCUUCUGCUGGAGGAAGAGUCUGAUCCUUCCAUCCCCCUAUUCCUGCUUCUUCCCACAUUCAGGCUUGAACUGAACAUUUUCCAGAAACCAAACCAGUGCCUUUUGGGGUGUUUAUCCCAUGAUGGCGGGAACUCAUUUCCCCAUGGCUAUCUAAUUUCCAUUGUGUUAUUCUUGGGGAGGCCAAAGACAUAACAAUUUGGAGAAACCAGAGACUGAUGUGAGCAUACGGGCUAGCUGAGCAUGAGCCGGAAACUCGCAGGUAGAACUGAGCGUAUGAGAGGAACUCAAUAGUCGCUAGUCUAGUCUUCUCCCCUCAUUCUACAGUUUGACAUCUCCCUCUAACAGCACUGCCUUCGGAUAUGCUGAUAUGCCCUCCAGACCUUUGUCCUGAGCUAAGAGAAUUGGCAUGCUUUCAGUCACACAGACAGAAUUUAUACAUUUGGAAGCUAUGAUAGUCACCCCUGAAGCACUUUACUGAUGGGUGUUUUCCUCUGGAUUCUAGGUUCUUGACUGGCCUCUAUUCUGGCUUCAGGCAAUGCCCCUGUUGUCCUUGAUAGGGACAAAACACUGCCAUCAGGAGGGACUAAGCUGAAUUGUGUUCCGCAAUGUCUACCAGCUUGGAGGAAAAUUCUCCUCUAGCCCAGAGAAGAGGUUCUUACGAGUUCUCCUGGAUAAGCCACGAUGACCUCAUCUCAAGACUCCUAAUUAUAUCUAUGAAGAUCCUUUAUCCAAAGAAUGUCACAAUAGCACGUUCUUUAGGGACAUAUCUUUUGGGGGCUACCAUUCAAUUCACUAUACAUUUUUUUUUGCAUUUUGAAGAGACAAAAAUCAGAACAAUUUUAUUUCUGUAGCUAUACAUGAUGAUCAUGGUAUAGUAUACUGGAAUCCACUUGCAUUUCCAUUUGUAGAUCCCAUAAAACUUUGCCAACCACUUUUAUAUCAGGUUUCUCAUCUGACUCUUGCAACAACCCUGCGAGAUAGCCAGGGAUGCAGCUGCCAUUUUACAGAUGAGGAAAUGGGGCCCAUGCAAGGUCGCCUGCAGCAAGUCACAGAACAUACGAGCACCAGAUCCUGUCCCUGGAGCAGCCCUACCAGUCCUGCUACCCGGCUGCUUUCUGCCCUUCCACACGACCUCUCAUCCUUCAUGGAUGCUGGCUUUGAAAAUACCAAAGGGAGCUACCUUCCAUUGUUGUUUAGGUGCAAAGACCUUGCUCCAGCGGCGCUGAUGGAUCUGUGCCUGCCUGCUGGUUGGUGGGCUCCCACAGUGAUGGCUGCAGACCUCUGCAGGCUGGCCGAAGGGUUAAAAGUGCAGCAGUUUCCAUGAACCAGACAGAAGCAAAUGGACCCUGGAGGAAAACCUUAUGAUUUUUGCUGUCUUAACACAGAGGCAGCGGUCAUAAAUUAGCAUUUUAAAAAUUAUCAAGUGUUCCUCAGAUAAAGAGGAAUGUGUGCCUCUCUAUUUGUAGCCUUUUCUUCUUGUUCCUCAGUAACGUUUUAUAAUUUUCUUUUUAAAAUAAUAUCAUGUAUAUUUAUGAGAUGUGAUGUGGUGUUUUGAUACAUGCAUACAUUGUGGAGUGAUUAAAUCAAGCUAAUUAACAUGUC